rnacentral:lncRNA from 1 species
CACUGGCACAGAGAAUGAAGUCACUGGAAGAGGAGAAAAUGAAGAGGACCCCUGGACAGGCAGCAAUAAAACAUGCACCCCAGAGGUUGGAGGGGGCCUGGAAUCAUGGGAUCCUAGGCAGCAGCCUGUAAGAGACUGGCUUUAUGAGCUAGUAGAUAUUAGAGGAAGAACUGAAAACUCCAGAGCUUCUAGUUCCAUAUCUUCUUAGGCCAACCACCGAAGAGAUUGAUCUUCUACCCACAGUGUUUGGAUUCCCCAGGAGCACAGAUGGGAUUCUGGGAAGACCAGUGUGAUGAGUUAAAGGCCUUCCAGGGUCCAGUCACACAUGGCGAAGAGCUGUAUCUUCUCUGAAAUGGCCUCCAGUGAUAUAAAACAUGGAAGAGAUGGAACACUGAGAAAACAACUCAACAGAGGUUCUCUCUUGAAAGUACUCCUAAGAGGUGAAUGUGGUGAGCAGAUACUAUGGCUCAGCAUUCCUCAGAAACCUGUGACGUGUGCUUCUGUCUACCAAGACAGCCACUUCCCUAUCUCCCCAUGCCUCUGUCUAAUAAGACAUCUCCUAUCAAGAUGUAUCUAUUGUGUGCAGCAAAGCCACCAGCCUCUUUUAGCCUACCAGCCCACUUCCCUGCUAGCCUAAAUGCCUAGGCUCUUGCAGUUUGCAGGUCCUAGGCACCUGCUA